rnacentral:rRNA from 1 species
GUCCGCAACUAGCGCAACCCCUGCCUUUAGUUGCCAUCAUUAAGUUGGGCACUCUAGAGGGACUGCCGGUGUUAAACCGGAGGAAGGUGGGGACGACGUCAAGUCCUCAUGGCCUUUAUGCCCAGGGCUACACACGUGCUACAAUGGGCGGCACAAAGGGAAGCGACGCCGCGAGGUGUAGCAAACCCCAAAAAACCGUUCUCAGUUCGGAUCGGAGUCUGCAACUCGACUCCGUGAAGUUGGAAUCGCUAGUAAUCGUGGAUCAGCAUGCCACGGUGAAUACGUUCCCGGGCCUUGUACACACCGCCCGUCACACCAC